rnacentral:pre_miRNA from 1 species
AGCUUGACAGCAGGCAACGGAAUCCCAAAAGCAGCUGUUGUCUCCAGAGCAUUCCAGCUGCAGUUGGAUUUCGUUCCCUGCUAUCCUGCAA